AACGCGAGGAACACGCCCUUGGCGGCGCGCUCGUCGGGAUCCAUCUCAAGCAGGUCUUCGCCCUUGAACAGGAUUUCGCCAGCGGUCACGUCAUAGCCCGGCUUGCCGGCGAUGACAUGGCUCAGCGUCGACUUGCCGGAACCGUUCGGCCCCAUGAUGGCGUGAANNNNNNNNNNNNGUGAGGUCGAGACCAUGCAGGAUCUCAUUAUCUUCCACCUGAACCUUAAGGCCUUUGACUUCGAG
rnacentral:misc_RNA from 1 species